rnacentral:tRNA from 1 species
GGGCCUAUGGUCUAGUGGUUAUGACGUCGCCCUUACAAGGCGGAGAUCGCCGGUUCAAUCCCGGCUGGGCCCA